rnacentral:rRNA from 14 species
GACGGGGGGAAAAUCAGUGGCGAAGGCGAAUCCCUGGCCAAAGACUGACGCUCAUGUGCGAAAGUGUGGGUAGCGAACAGGAUUAGAUACCCUGGUAGUCCACACCGUAAACGCUGUCUACUAGCUGUGUGUGUCUUUAAGACGUGCGUAGCGAAGCUAACGCGCUAAGUAGACCGCCUGGGGAGUACGGCCGCAAGGUUAAAACUCAAAUGAAUUGACGGGGGCCCGCACAAGCGGUGGAGCAUGUG